rnacentral:rRNA from 1 species
ACUCCUACGGGAGGCAGCAGUGGGGAAUUUUGGACAAUGGGGGCAACCCUGAUCCAGCAAUGCCGCGUGAGUGAAGAAGGCCUUCGGGUUGUAAAGCUCUUUUGUCAGGGAAGAAACAGCAGCUCUAACACAGUUUGCGAAUGACGGUACCUGAAGAAUAAGCACCGGCUAACUACGUGCCAGCAGCCGCGGUAAUAC